CCCUUCACCCAUUCAUUGUCUCAGUCCAGGUUUAUCAAGUGCUGGCUGCGUGCCGGGCACGGACCAGGUGCUGAGCACGUGAAGAUUGGGAAAUGAAGACAAGAGAGGGGAGGGACCUUCCCAGAGAGGGACAGGGACGAGAAGGCCUAUGGCAGGGAGGGGAUUGAGGCCCGGAGCCAGGCCAUUGGACCCCAGAUCCUGAGCGGCCUCUGCAGCACCAUGAGGCACAGCCAUGAGGUGUGCCGCUGACACCCCCUAUCUCCCUCGCUCCUCGGUGAGCCACACCCAAAGUCUUCCCAGCAUGGACCUCCAAGAGAGCUGGGUAUCCAGGGAGAAGAGAAGGAGGACCAAGGCUACUCCCUGCCACACUUUCACCUCCAGUCAUCCCUGGACAGGGCCCCAGGGACCUGUGCUUGCCAAGCCUGUGUCACAUGGUUAUCACUAUGUCCCUUAUGCUCUCUGGGCCUCAGUUUCUCCUGUGUAAGAGGACAGAUAGACCGCAACUGAGGCCCAUCCAUGGAGACAUGACAUCUAGGCUGGGACGAGGGGAGUGCUUUGAAAUUCUUUGGAAUAAAGCAGUAGGCAGGCAGUGUGCAAGGAGGCAGCACCCUCUCCUGCUCAUGCAGAGUGCCUAGAAUCCACCAAGCACCAGACCACAGUGCCAGCUCGGAAGCUCUA